GAGAGAAAGAGAGAAAGAGGGAGAAAGAACACCCUUGUUGAAAGAUAGGUGUUGUGAUAGGGAGAGUUAAUAAAUAGGAGUGAGAACUAUUCGGUUUAAACUAAAUAAAUUGAAUUGAACUGCCUUAAUUCGAUAAUUCGAUUCGAUUUUUAAGAUAAUUUGAUUCGGAUUGAUUUUUCAUUUUAAAAUUUCGAUUAUUUCGAUUCGGUUCAGUUCGAUUUUAGAGAGAAAAAAAU
rnacentral:misc_RNA from 1 species